rnacentral:rRNA from 1 species
GGCUACGGCCAUAUCACGAUGAAUGCACCUCAUCCCGUCCGAUUUGAGAAGUUAAGCAACCUGUGGUGCUGUAGUCUUUUAUCGUCGAGCCACAUCAGUACUGAGGUUGGAGACAACUUGGGAACCUGUGGUGCUGUAGUCU